rnacentral:tRNA from 1 species
GGAAGGGUGGCCGAGUGGUUGAUGGCACUGGUCUUGAAAACCAGCGGGCGAAAGCCUCGCAAGUUCGAAUCUUGUCCCUUCCGCCA